CUGCAGAUGAUGAAAAAACUUGAAUUUGGGCUGAUUUCAACCAUGAGGCUCCAAAUCGAGCUUUUUAAAACUGAUGCUUU